rnacentral:rRNA from 1 species
GGGCCCGCACAAGCAGUGGAGCAUGUGGUUUAAUUCGAUGCAACGCGAAGAACCUUACCCAGGCUCGAAAUGUAAUGGACAUCUUCAGAGAUGAAGAGUUCCGCAAGGACUGUUAUAUAGGUGCUGCAUGGCUGUCGUCAGCUCGUGCCGUGAGGUGUUUGGUUAAGUCCAGCAACGAGCGCAACCCUUAUCAUUAGUUGCCAACACGCGAGGUGGGGACUCUAAUGAGACUGCCUAGGUUAACUAGGAGGAAGGUGAGGAUGACGUCAAGUCCGCAUGGCCUUUAUGUCUGGGGCUACACACGUGCUACAAUGGUCGGUACAGAAGGCAGCAAAGCCGCAAGGUGGAGCAAAUCCGUAAAGCCGAUCACAGUUCAGAUUGUAGUCUGCAACUCGACUACAUGAAGUUGGAAUUGCUAGUAAUGACGUGUCAGCAACAACGUCGUGAAUACGUUCCCGGGCCUU